rnacentral:rRNA from 1 species
CGUAAACUCCCUUUUCGACCCGAGAUGAAUACUGUUCGACCUAACACGUCGAAUGGCUGACAGUAUCGAGGGAAGAAGCCCCCGGCUAACUCUGUGC